UACGGAGGGUGCAAGCGUUGUCCGGAUUUAUUGGGCGUAAAGGGUGUGUAGGUGGAAUGAUAAGUCGGAAGUGAAAACUGUACCGCUUAACGGACAGCCUGCUUUCGAAACUGUCAUUCUAGAGUUCAGGAGAGGGUGAUGGAAUUCCUGGUGUAGCGGUGGAAUGCGUAGAUAUCAGGAAGAACACCGGUGGCGAAGGCGGUCACCUGGCCUGCAACUGACGCUGAGACACGAAAGUGCGGGGAGCAAACAGGGAUUAGAUACCCUGGUAGUCCGCACCGUAAACGAUGGGUACUAGGUGCCGGAAGAUUCGACCCUUUUGGUGUCGACGCUAACGCAUUAAGUACCCCGCCUGGGGAGUACGAUCGCAAGGUUGAAGCU
rnacentral:rRNA from 1 species